UACGAAGGGGGCUAGCGUUGUUCGGAAUCACUGGGCGUAAAGCGCACGUAGGCGGAUCUUUAAGUCAAGGGUGAAAUCCCGAGGCUCAACCUCGGAACUGCCUUUGAUACUGGGGGAUCUCGAGUCCGGGAGAGGUGAGUGGAACUGCGAGUGUAGAGGUGAAAUUCGUAGAUAUUCGCAAGAACACCAGUGGCGAAGGCGGCUCACUGGCCCGGAACUGACGCUGAGGUGCGAAAGCGUGGGGAGCAAACAGG
rnacentral:rRNA from 1 species